rnacentral:rRNA from 1 species
GCCUGAUGCAGCAACGCCGCGUGAGGGACGAAGGCCUUCGGGUUGUAAACCUCUUUUAGUAGGGAAGAAGCGAAAGUGACGGUACCUGCAGAAAAAGCACCGGCUAACUACGUGCCAGCAGCCGCGGUAAUACGUAGGGUGCAAGCGUUGUCCGGAAUUAUUGGGCGUAAAGAGCUCGUAGGCGGUUUGUCGCGUCUGCUGUGAAAACUGGAGGCUCAACCUCCAGCCUGCAGUGGGUACGGGCAGACUAGAGUGCGGUAGGGGAGAUUGGAAUUCCUGGUGUAGCGGUGGAAUGCGCAGAUAUCAGGAGGAACACCGAUGGCGAAGGCAGAUCUCUGGGCCGUAACUGACGCUGAGGAGCGAAAGCAUGGGGAGCGAACAGGAUUAGAUACCCUGGUAGUCCAUGCCGUAAACGUUGGGAACUAGAUGUAGGGGCCAUUCCACGGUUUCUGUGUCGCAGCUAACGCAUUAAGUUCCCCGCCUGGGGAGUACGGCCGCAAGGCUAAAACUCAAAGGAAUUGACGGGGGCCCGCACAAGCGGCGGAGCAUGCGGAUUAAUUCGAUGCAACGCGAAGAACCUUACCAAGGCUUGACAUAUACCGGAAACGGCUAGAGAUAGUCGCCCCGCAAGGUCG